rnacentral:rRNA from 1 species
UACGUAGGGUGCAAGCGUUGUCCGGAAUUAUUGGGCGUAAAGAGCUCGUAGGCGGUCUGUCGCGUCGGAUGUGAAAAAUCCAGGGCUUAACCCUGGGCCUGCAUUCGAUACGGGCAGACUAGAGUUCGGUAGGGGAGACUGGAAUUCCUGGUGUAGCGGUGAAAUGCGCAGAUAUCAGGAGGAACACCGGUGGCGAAGGCGGAUCUCUGGGCCUUGCCUGACGCUGAGGAACGAAAGCCAGGGUAGCGAACGGG